AGGGACAGUCCCACCCUGGCAGCCGCGCGGAGAGGAGGGCGGCAGAGGAGACCGAAAACUAGGCUUGCCUGGGGCAGUCCAGCCGUAGUGGUGGGCGGGUGCGCGGUUCCUGGAUGUCCUGUAUUACCUGGUGACCUGACGACGCAGGUGGACGUGACUGGUCCCCUGACACUGAGUGCAUGCGGUGAUCCUGGUGGUCCUCUUGCUGGUGGGAGCCGUCAACAGAAGGAUCCAGGCAAAUUUCUGAAAGUGUGCAUUGUGUUCCAUGGCAUAAACCUGAUUUCAACUUCGGUACCAAAUAAUUCCCC
rnacentral:lncRNA from 1 species